GUAGUGUUGAAUUCUAGA
rnacentral:snRNA from 1 species